rnacentral:rRNA from 1 species
UACCGCAUACGUCCUACGGGAGAAAGGGGGCUCCGGCUCCCGCUAUUGGAUGAGCCUAUGUCGGAUUAGCUAGUUGGUAAGGUAAUGGCUUACCAAGGCAACGAUCCGUAGCUGGUCUGAGAGGAUGAUCAGCCACAUCGGGACUGAGACACGGCCCGAACUCCUACGGGAGGCAGCAGUGGGGAAUAUUGGACAAUGGGGGCAACCCUGAUCCAGCCAUGCCGCGUGUGUGAAGAAGGCCCUCGGGUUGUAAAGCACUUUCAGCGAGGAAGAACGCCUAUCGGUUAAUACCCGGUAGGAAAGACAUCACUCGCAGAAGAAGCACCGGCUAACUCCGUGCCAGCAGCCGCGGUAAUACGGAGGGUGCAAGCGUUAAUCGGAAUUACUGGGCGUAAAGCGCGCGUAGGUGGCUUGAUAAGCCGGUUGUGAAAGCCCCGGGCUCAACCUGGGAACGGCAUCCGGAACUGUCAGGCUAGAGUGCAGGAGAGGAAGGUAGAAUUCCCGGUGUAGCGGUGAAAUGCGUAGAGAUCGGGAGGAAUACCAGUGGCGAAGGCGGCCUUCUGGACUGACACUGACACUGAGGUGCGAAAGCGUGGGUAGCAAACAGGAUUAGAUACCCUGGUAGUCCACGCCGUAAACGAUGUCGACCAGCCGUUGGGUGCCUAGAGCACUUUGUGGCGAAGUUAACGCGAUAAGUCGACCGCCUGGGGAGUACGGCCGCAAGGUUAAAACUCAAAUGAAUUGACGGGGGCCCGCACAAGCGGUGGAGCAUGUGGUUUAAUUCGAUGCAACGCGAAGAACCUUACCUACCCUUGACAUCUACAGAAGCCGGAAGAGAUUCUGGUGUGCCUUCGGGAACUGUAAGACAGGUGCUGCAUGGCUGUCGUCAGCUCGUGUUGUGAAAUGUUGGGUUAAGUCCCGUAACGAGCGCAACCCUUGUCCUUAUUUGCCAGCGAGUAAUGUCGGGAACUCUAAGGAGACUGCCGGUGACAAACCGGAGGAAGGUGGGGACGACGUCAAGUCAUCAUGGCCCUUACGGGUAGGGCUACACACGUGCUACAAUGGCCGGUACAAAGGGCUGCGAGCUCGCGAGAGUCAGCGAAUCCCUUAAAGCCGGUCUCAGUCCGGAUCGGAGUCUGCAACUCGACUCCGUGAAGUCGGAAUCGCUAGUAAUCGUGAAUCAGAAUGUCACGGUGAAUACGUUCCCGGGCCUUGCACACCCCGCCCCGUCAAUG